rnacentral:rRNA from 1 species
AGCAGCCGCGGUAAUUCCAGCUCCAAUAGCGUAUAUUAAAGUUGUUGCAGUUAAAAAGCUCGUAGUUGAAUUUCGGGAUCGACAUGUUGGUCGUGCCUCGGUACGUACUGGCAUAUCGGUUUCUACCUUCUGACGAACCAUGAUGUCAUUAAUUUGGUGUCUUGGGAAAUCAGGACUGUUACUUUGAAAAAAUUAGAGUGUUUAAAGCAGGCUCACGCUUGAAUACAUUAGCAUGGAAUAAUGAAAUAGGACGUUUGAUUCUAUUUUGUUGGUUUCUAGGAUCGGCGUAAUGAUUAAUAGGGAUAGUUGGGGGCAUUAGUAUUCAAUUGUCAGAGGUGAAAUUCUUGGAUUUAUUGAAGACUAACUACUGCGAAAGCAUUUGCCAAGGAUGUUUUCAUUAAUCAAGAACGAAAGUUAGGGGAUCGAAGACGAUCAGAUACCGUCGUAGUCUUAACCAUAAACUAUGCCGACUAGGGAUCGGAUGAUGUUAAUUUUUUAAUGACUCAUUCGGCGCCUUACG